GAUUAUUGGGCGUAAGGGCUCGCAGGCGGUUUCUUAAGUCUGAUGUGAAAGCCCCCGGCUCAACCGGGGAGGGUCAUUGGAAACUGGGAAACUUGAGUGCAGAAGAGGAGAGUGGAAUUCCACGUGUAGCGGUGAAAUGCGUAGAGAUGUGGAGGAACACCAGUGGCGAAGGCGACUCUCUGGUCUGUAACUGACGCUGAGGAGCGAAAGCGUGGGGAGCGAACAGGAUUAGAUACCCUGGUAGUCCACGCCGUAAACGAUGAGUGCUAAGUGUUAGGGGGUUUCCGCCCCUUAGUGCUGCAGCUAACGCAUUAAGCACUCCGCCUGGGGAGUACGGUCGCAAGACUGAAACUCAAAGGAAUUGACGGGGGCCCGCACAAGCGGUGGAGCAUGUGGUUUAAUUCGAAGCAACGCGAAGAACCUUACCAGGUCUUGACAUCCUCUGACAACGCUAGAGAUAGGGCUUUCCCUUCGGGGACAGAGUGACAGGUGGUGCAUGGUUGUCGUCAGCUCGUGUCGUGAGAUGUUGGGUUAAGUCCCGCAACGAGCGCAACCCUUGAUCUUAGUUGCCAGCAUUCAGUUGGGCACUCUAAGGUGACUGCCGGUGACAA
rnacentral:rRNA from 1 species